GUUAAUUGAUCAGGACGUGCUUGCACUGAAUGAGAUUUUAACACGAAGUAGNUGGCGGACGGGUGAGUAACACGUGGGUAACCUGCCCAGAAGCAGGGGAUAACACCUGGAAACAGAUGCUAAUACCGUAUAACAGAGAAAACCGCCUGGUUUUCUUUUAAAAGAUGGCUCUGCUAUCACUUCUGGAUGGACCCGCGGCGCAUUAGCUAGUUGGUGAGGUAACGGCUCACCAAGGCGAUGAUGCGUAGCCGACCUGAGAGGGUAAUCGGCCACAUUGGGACUGAGACACGGCCCAGACUCCUACGGGAGGCAGCAGUAGGGAAUCUUCCACAAUGGACGCAAGUCUGAUGGAGCAACGCCGCGUGAGUGAAGAAGGGUUUCGGCUCGUAAAGCUCUUUUGUUAAAGAAAAACGUGGGUGAAAGUAACUGUUCACCCAGUGACGGUAUUUAACCAGAAGGCCACGGCUAACUACGUGCCAGCAGCCGCGGUAAUACGUA
rnacentral:rRNA from 1 species